AGACAGAGGGUGCAAACGUUGCUCGGAAUCACUGGGCGUAAAGCGGGUGUAGGCGGGUCGACAAGUCUGGUGUGAAAGCCCUGGGCUCAACCCAGGAAUUGCAUCGGAAACUGUCGGUCUUGAGUGCCGGAGAGGGAGGCGGAAUUCCCGGUGUAGAGGUGAAAUUCGUAGAUAUCGGGAGGAACACCAGAGGCGAAGGCGGCUUCCUGGACGGCUACUGACGCUGAGGAGCGAAAGCUAGGGGAGCAAACGGGAGUAGAUACCCGUGUAGUCC
rnacentral:rRNA from 1 species